rnacentral:rRNA from 1 species
UAGGGAAUCUUCGGCAAUGGACGGAAGUCUGACCGAGCAACGCCGCGUGAGUGAAGAAGGUUUUCGGAUCGUAAAGCUCUGUUGUUAGAGAAGAAUGUUGGUAGGAGUGGAAAAUCUACCAAGUGACGGUAACUAACCAGAAAGGGACGGCUAAUUACGUGCCAGCAGCCGCGGUAAUACGUAGGUCCCGAGCGUUGUCCGGAUUUAUUGGGCGUAAAGCGAGCGCAGGCGGUUCUUUAAGUCUGAAGGUAAAGGUAGUGGCUUAACCAUUGUACGCAUUGGAAACUGGAGGACUUGAGUGCAGAAGGGGAGAGUGGAAUUCCAUGUGUAUCGGUGAAAUGCGUAGAUAUAUGGAGGAACACCGGUGGCGAAAGCGGCUCUCUGGUCUGUACCUGACGCUGAGGCUCGAAAGCGUGGGGAGCAAACAGG